GACGGAGGAUGCAAGUGUUAUCCGGAAUCACUGGGCGUAAAGCGUCUGUAGGUGGUUCGAAAAGUCCACUGUUAAAAAUUGAGGCUUAACUUCAAAGAUGCCGUGGAAACUUUCAAACUAGAGUAUGGUAGGGGUAGAGGGAAUUUCCAGUGGAGCGGUGAAAUGCGUAGAUAUUGGAAAGACCACCGAUGGCGAAGGCACUCUACUGGGCCAUUACUGACACUGAGAGACGAAAGCUAGGGGAGCAAACAGG
rnacentral:rRNA from 1 species